UGUGCAGUGUCCAGCCUGUAUAUGCAAGCUACAUCCAGCAUAUUCCGUCAAUAGCUACAAUAAUGACACGCCAGGUCUUCGUCUCAAGUGUCCAACUCAGGCCUGAAAUCAACAUCGCACUGGAAAUGGAGUUAGUAAGCAGAAGACUACUUUUGUUAUCUAUUGAAUAUCAUCACGAGGCAGUGAUAGAGGAGUCUACAGAGCCACUGGAGGAAGUCUACACAGCCAAACGAGGGAGUCGUAUCGUAAUGGUAAACAGAAGAACAUCUUGUAUACUUCGUUGGCAGGUGCAACAUCUUGGGGAUUAGCGCAGAUUAGACAGACUAAUAUGAUCUCUGAGCUUGCUGUUUUUUGUAACUUCGCCAAGGGAACCUUUCUCUAUCAGAACAUUACACUAUAGUUAUUACAGAUAUUGGAGCCUUCUCACCGAGUGCCUGUAUCCGGCUGAGGACAUUGAAAAUCAUAAUCACAUGAAAAAUUCGUGUAAAACUCCAACUUUAGUGCAUGAUGGAUAUAUUUUCAAAAAAACGUGUCAUUCAGGACUAAUGGAAAUUGACUCACAUUAAUAAUAAAUUGAAAUUACCAUAUAUCUAUUCUAUUUACAACAUAAUCUCGUGGCAUUUUCAAACCACACAUAUUCUAAUGUACUUUCUUCGGAGUACAAUGCCUUAUCAAAUGGUGAUUUAAUCUUGCCUUGGAAGAAAAAUGAAUGAUUAAAUUCUCAUUGAAAAUUGAUGUCUAUCUGACUGAAAAUGAACGCUAAAAAGUUUAAAAUUCUGAUUUGAUUGACCAUAGUAUUAUCGAAAGAAAAUUCCUGUUUCCUGUUUUUAUUUUCAAUGUUUUAGCAUUGAAAUUCACAACUAAUUAACAAUUAGUAAUUGCAUUCCACUCAGCGUAUUAUUUUAUUUGAAAAAACGCCAAGAAAUACGUGAAAAUGUACCACAAAUAUUAUUCUUCCUGUGAAAUAUCAUCUCAUUUACUCAUGGUUUUCCCACCAAGGAAACGCUUGAUUUUAGAAAAUGAAAGAAAAUUAUUUGUUUUCACAGGUCAAUUACGAUACCAUCACUGAGAAAACUAUGUUUUUAUUUUUUUCCUUCAAAUUACCGCUAAAAAUCGGUAAAAACAACAAGCAUGGGUCCAGUCGAUAAUGAUAACUCUGGAUUGUUAUUUAAAAAUGGCUGCAUGCAGAACGAACCCAAGACGUGUGAUGUUUUCUUUACUGCUUCCUGAUAAAAUAUUCUGUUUUUGAUUUAUAGGUUCGUCUCAUGUUUUUACCAAGAUGCCUCCUCAGUGUC